rnacentral:rRNA from 1 species
CCUACGGGAGACAGCAGUGAGGAAUAUUGGUCAAUGGACGCAAGUCUGAACCAGCCAAGCCGCGUGCAGGAAGACGGCUCUAUGAGUUGUAAACUGCUUUUGUACGAGGGUAAACGGAGAUACGUGUAUCUGUCUGAAAGUAUCGUAUGAAUAAGGAUCGGCUAACUCCGUGCCAGCAGCCGCGGUAAUACGGAGGAUUCAAGCGUUAUCCGGAUUUAUUGGGUUUAAAGGGUGCGUAGGCGGUCAGAUAAGUUAGCGGUGAAAUCCUGAGGCUCAACUUCGUAAUUGCCUCUGAUACUGGUCGGCUAGAGAGUAGUUGCGGUAGGCGGAAUGUGUGGUGUAGCGGUGAAAUGCUUAGAGAUCAUGCAGAACACCGAUUGCGAAGGCAGCUUACCAAGCUACUACUGACGUUGAGGCACGAAAGCGUGGGGAGCAAACAGGAUUAGAUACCCGGGUAGUC